GGCCCGCUAGCUCAAUCGGCAGAGCAGUUGACUCUUAAUCAAUUGGUUCCAGGUUCGAGUCCUGGGCGGGUCA
rnacentral:tRNA from 1 species